UUGUUUUGAAAAUCACUUGAAGAUUAAAAAUGGAGGAUCAAGGUCAUCUCAAGAUCAAGGUCCAUUUAAAGGUGGGAGUGAAAGUGACAACGAGGAGAAUAACUCGACGUAUAAUCAGCCGUGUACGAAUACGAGCGGUGGUAUAAGUAAUCCAAUAAUCAUGGAACGAAGCCGGCCAGCCAUCUAAGAAGCUUAGUUUUUACACGAGGGUGCUUCCAUCGUGAUAAUAAAUAUCUAUUAUCACACGUGAUUAGUUUUACGAUACGAUUGAGGAUAGUGCUAUUU